rnacentral:tRNA from 1 species
GGGAUGUCGCCAAGCGGUAAGGCACAGGACUUUGACUCCUGCAUGCGUAGGUUCGAAUCCUGCCAUCCC